rnacentral:rRNA from 1 species
GAUGAACGCUGGCGGCGUGCUUAACACAUGCAAGUCGAACGGUGAACACGGAGCUUUCUCUGUGGGAUCAGUGGCGAACGGGUGAGUAACACGUGAGCAACCUGCCCCUGACUCUGGGAUAAGCGCUGGAAACGGCGUCUAAUACUGGAUAUGUGACGUGACCGCAUGGUCUGCGUUUGGAAAGAUUUUUCGGUUGGGGAUGGGCUCGCGGCCUAUCAGCUUGUUGGUGAGGUAAUGGCUCACCAAGGCUUCGACGGGUAGCCGGCCUGAGAGGGUGACCGGCCACACUGGGACUGAGACACGGCCCAGACUCCUACGGGAGGCAGCAGUGGGGAAUAUUGCACAAUGGGCGGAAGCCUGAUGCAGCAACGCCGCGUGAGGGAUGACGGCCUUCGGGUUGUAAACCUCUUUUAGCUGGGAAGAAGCGAAAGUGACGGUACCUGGAGAAAAAGCGCCGGCUAACUACGUG